rnacentral:rRNA from 1 species
UGGGGAAUAUUGGACAAUGGGCGGAAGCCUGAUCCAGCCAUGCCGCGUGUGUGAAGAAGGCCUUUUGGUUGUAAAGCACUUUAAGCGAGGAGGAGGCUACUAGUACUAAUACUACUGGAUAGUGGACGUUACUCGCAGAAUAAGCACCGGCUAACUCUGUGCCAGCAGCCGCGGUAAUACAGAGGGUGCGAGCGUUAAUCGGAUUUACUGGGCGUAAAGCGUGCGUAGGCGGCUGAUUAAGUCGGAUGUGAAAUCCCUGAGCUUAACUUAGGAAUUGCAUUCGUUACUGGUCAGCUAGAGUAUGGGAGAGGAUGGUAGAAUUCCAGGUGUAGCGGUGAAAUGCGUAGAGAUCUGGAGGAAUACCGAUGGCGAAGGCAGCCAUCUGGCCUAAUACUGACGCUGAGGUACGAAAGCAUGGGGAGCAAACAGG